rnacentral:rRNA from 1 species
AGGACGAACGCUGGCGGCGUGCUUAACACAUGCAAGUCGAGCGGAAAGGCCCUUCGGGGUACUCGAGCGGCGAACGGGUGAGUAACACGUGAGCAACCUGCCCUUAGCUCCGGGAUAGCUCCGGGAAACCGGAAUUAAUACCGGAUACAACCACGGCCGACAUCUGCUGUGGUGGAAAGGAUUCCGGCUAAGGAUGGGCUCGCGGCCUAUCAGCUAGUUGGUGGAGUAACGGCCCACCAAAGGCGACGACGGGUA